rnacentral:rRNA from 1 species
UACGAAGGGGGCUAGCGUUGCUCGGAAUCACUGGGCGUAAAGCGCACGUAGGCGGGUCCUUAAGUCAGGGGUGAAGUCCCGGAGCUCAACUCCGGAACUGCCUUUGAUACUGGGGAUCUUGAGUCCGGAAGAGGUGAGUGGAACUCCGAGUGUAGAGGUGAAAUUCGUAGAUAUUCGGAAGAACACCAGUGGCGAAGGCGGCUCACUGGUCCGGUACUGGACGCUGAGGUGCGAAAGCGUGGGGAGCAAACAGG